CACGGGGGGAGCAAGCGUUGUUCGGAAUCACUGGGCGUAAAGGGCGUGUAGGCGGUCGAGUAAGUGGAAUGUGAAACGCCUCGGCUUACCCGAGGACCUGCAUCCCAAACUGCUUGGCUUGAGUAUGGGAGAGGAUGAGGGAAUUCCUGGUGUAGCGGUGAAAUGCGUAGAUAUCAGGAGGAACACCGGUGGCGAAAGCGCUCAUCUGGCCCAAUACUGACGCUGAGGCGCGAAAGCUAGGGGAGCAAACGGG
rnacentral:rRNA from 1 species